rnacentral:rRNA from 1 species
CACGUAGGGCGCAAGCGUUGUCCGGAAUUAUUGGGCGUAAAGAGCUCGUAGGCGGUCUGUUACGUCUGCUGUGAAAACCCGGGGCUUAACCCUGGGCUUGCAGUGGAUACGGACAGACUAGAGGUAGGUAGGGGAGAAUGGAAUUCCCGGUGUAGCGGUGAAAUGCGCAGAUAUCAGGAAGAACACCCGUGGCGAAGGCGGCUCUCUGGGACGGUACUGACGCUGAGACGCGAAAGCGUGGGGAGCGAACAGG